GAUGAAGAACGUAGCGAAAUGCGAUACUUGGUGUGAAUUGCAGAAUCCCGUGAACCAUCGAGUCUUUGAACGCAAGUUGCGCCCGAAGCCGUCAGGCCGAGGGCACGCCUGCCUGGGCGUCACACGCCGUUGCCCCCCCGCGCCCCGCACCCAACGCUUUGGGAGCGACCGCGGGGCGGGCUGAUGAUGGCCUCCCGUGCGCUCCGCCGCGCGGUUGGCCCAAAUACCGAGUCCCCGGCGACGUGCGCCACGACGAUCGGUGGUUGAGAGACCUCUGUCGCAAGUCGUGCGCGCCCGUCGCGUCACGCGGGCUCGCAUAGCGCCUCGCGCCGCACCCGGUGCGGAGCUUUCAACGCGACCCCAGGUCAGGCGGGGUUACCCGCUGAAUUUAAGCAUAUCAAUAAGCGGAGA
rnacentral:misc_RNA from 1 species